UAAUAUUAUUUAAAAUAAUCAUUAAAAAUAAAGUUAUAAUAUACUUGAAUAUAGGAGUGCAUAGUGUGGCCCGUAUAGCAGGCAUUAACAUUCCUGAU
rfam:Arsenophonus symbiont of Lipoptena fortisetosa strain CB, complete genome.